rnacentral:rRNA from 1 species
UACGGUAGGGUGCGAGCGUUGUCCGGAAUUACUGGGCGUAAAGAGCUCGUAGGUGGUUUGUCGCGUUGUCCGUGAAAACUCACAACUCAAUUGUGGGCGUGCGGGCGAUACGGGCAGACUGGAGUACUGCAGGGGAGACUGGAAUUCCUGGUGUAGCGGUGAAAUGCGCAGAUAUCAGGAGGAACACCGGUGGCGAAGGCGGGUCUCUGGGCCGAUACUGACGCUGAGGAGCGAAAGCGUGGGGAGCGAACAGG